CCUUGGCACCUUGAAUUAAUCAAGAUUAAUGAACUGGCCCUGUGAAUAGUGACAGCAUCUGAAGGACUAUGGUGUAGGCUCUCAAUGAAUGCCAGUUGAAUUCAAUUUCAAUAAUUGUCCCAUUAAUUGAAUGACACAAGUCCUGAGAAAGGCAGCUUAUCUAUCUGGCUCAUGACUACAACAGCUGUGAAAGGAUAGGAAGGCCCUUGGUGGAUGCCUUAAAGACAGUAAAAUGGACGUCACACUCAGAUUUUCAACAAGUCUCUACUACUGCUGCUGCUAAGUCACUUCAGUCGUGUCCGACUCUGUGUGACCCCAGAGACGGCAGCCCACCAGGCUCCCCCAUCCCUGGGAUUCUCCAGGCAAGAACACUGGAGUGGGUUGCCAUUUCCUUCUCCAAUGCAUGAAAGUGAAAAGUGAAAGUGAAGUCACUCAGUCAUGUCUGACUCUCAGCGACCCCAUGGACUGCAGCCUACCCGGCUCCUCCGUCCAUGGGAUUUUCCAAGCAAGAGUACUGGAGUGGGGUGUCAACAAGUCUCUGGAGUCCGACAAAUCUAGCUGGCAACCGGCUGAAAAAGCGGCAGUUUUCAGCUGCAAGAGGCAUAAUUCCUGUGUCUGCAGUUGACGUCUGAGUGAGAAGCAGCUGGCCCAGCAGCGUCAAACACCCUCCUUCCAGCUGGCUCUGCCUUUAAGUUAGAACAAAGUGAGAAGGCAUUCAACUACCAGAUAUUUCGAUAAGAAAAUACAAUGAAGAAAGAAGAGAAAUUGAAGCUGAGUUCUCUUACGGUCCCCAGGAUGGAACUUGUAAGUGCAUCAGUUCUUAGAUAGCAAGUGGUCAUUAAUUGUCCUUUGUCUGAAUGCAGGCUUGAAGUUGGUGAAAAUUUUUGUAUUUAAGGAAAUGUAACUCAGUGGUAAUUCAGACCAUGGACAGAAGUAUCACACACAGGAUAGGAAGGGCCUCUUCUCCAUCUCCCGCCCUUCUCCUCACCCUACUCCUCACCUCAUGUACUCAAGUUUUUCUCUAGCAAAUAGGACAAUAGGAUGGGCAAUAUAUCCAAAGGGAACCAGCUUUUUAGGCUUAGGAAAUAAAGGAUUUGGGGCUAUGUAAAAUUCUUGGCUA
rnacentral:lncRNA from 1 species